rnacentral:rRNA from 1 species
AUUGAACGCUGGCGGCAGGCCUAACACAUGCAAGUCGAGCGGGGUUUUCGGACCUAGCGGCGGUCGGGUGAGUAAUGCGUAGGAAGCUGCCCGAUAGAGGGGGACACCAGUUGGAAACGACUGUUAAUACCGCAUAAUGUCUACGGACCAAAGUGUGGGACCUUCGGGCCACAUGCUAUCGGAUGCGCCUACGUGGGAUUAGCUAGUUGGUGAGGUAAUGGCUCACCAGGGCGACGAUCUCUAGCUGGUUUGAGAGGAUGAUCAGCCACACUGGAACUGAGACACGGUCCAGACUCCUACGGGAGGCAGCAGUGGGGAAUAUUGGACAAUGGGCGCAAGCCUGAUCCAGCCAUGCCGCGUGUGUGAAGAAGGCCUUCGGGUUGUAAAGCACUUUCAGCGAGGAGGAAGGGGUGUGUGUUAAUAGUACACACCUUUGACGUUACUCGCAGAAGAAGCACCGGCUAACUCUGUGCCAGCAGCCGCGGUAACAC